CGGAACGUGCCCAGUUGUGGGGGAUAACUGCUCGAAAGAGCAGCUAAUACCGCAUACGACCUGAGGGUGAAAGCGGGGGAUCGCAAGACCUCGCGCAAUUGGAGCGGCCGAUAUCAGAUUAGGUAGUUGGUGGGGUAAAGGCCUACCAAGCCUACGAUCUGUAGCUGGUCUGAGAGGACGACCAGCCACACUGGGACUGAGACACGGCCCAGACUCCUACGGGAGGCAGCAGUGGGGAAUUUUGGACAAUGGGGGCAACCCUGAUCCAGCCAUGCCGCGUGCGGGAAGAAGGCCUUCGGGUUGUAAACCGCUUUUGUCAGGGAAGAAAUCCUUUGAGCUAAUACCUCGGAGGGAUGACGGUACCUGAAGAAUAAGCACCGGCUAACUACGUGCCAGCAGCCGCGGUAAUACGUAGGGUGCAAGCGUUAAUCGGAAUUACUGGGCGUAAAGCGUGCGCAGGCGGUUAUGCAAGACAGAUGUGAAAUCCCCGGGCUCAACCUGGGAACUGCAUUUGUGACUGCAUAGCUAGAGUACGGUAGAGGGGGAUGGAAUUCCACGU
rnacentral:rRNA from 1 species